UACGUAGGUGGCAAGCGUUGUCCGGAUUUACUGGGCGUAAAGAGCGCGCAGGCGGUCGGUCAAGUCGCGUGUGAAAGCCCCCGGCUCAACUGGGGAGGGUCACGCGAUACUGAUCGACUGGAAGGCAGGAGAGGGUAGUGGAAUUCCCGGUGUAGUGGUGAAAUGCGUAGAUAUCUGGAGGAACACCGGUGGCGAAGGCGGCAUCCUGGACCGACACUGACGCUGAGGAGCGAAAGCCAGGGGAGCAAACGGG
rnacentral:rRNA from 1 species